rnacentral:rRNA from 1 species
AGCGAACGCUGGCGGCAUGCCUAACACAUGCAAGUCGCACGGGGGGGCUUCGGCCUCCCAGUGGCGGACGGGUGAGGAACGCGUAGGAACCUGUCGAGGGGUGGGGGAUAACCGCGGGAAACUGCGGCUAAUACCGCAUGACGCCGCGGCGUGACAGCCGGGGCCAAAGGCGAAAGCCGCCCGCCGAGGGGCCUGCGUCCGAUUAGCUGGUUGGCGGGGUAGCGGCCCACCAAGGCGUCGAUCGGUAGCUGGUCUGAGAGGGUGAUCAGCCACACCGGGACUGAGACACGGCCCGGACUCCUACGGGAGGCAGCAGUGGGGAAUAUUGGACAAUGGGCGCAAGCCUGAUCCAGCAAUGCCGCGUGGGUGAAGAAGGUCUUCGGAUUGUAAAGCCCUUUCGGCGGGGACGAUGGUGACGGUACCCGCAGAAGAAGCCCCGGCUAACUUCGUG